rnacentral:rRNA from 1 species
AGUGAACGCUGGCGGUAUGCCUAACACAUGCAAGUCGAACGAGUGGCGGACGGGUGAGGAAUACAUCGGAAUCUACUCUGCCGUGGGGGCUAACGUAGGGAAAAUUACGCUACUACCGCAUACGAUUGAAUGAGCCGAUGGCGGAUUAGCUAGUUGGCGGGGUAAAGGCACACCAAGGCGACGAUCCGUAGCUGGUCGGAGAGGAUGAUCGGCCACACUGGAACGGAGACACGGUCCAGACUCCUACGGGAGGCAGCAGUGGGGAAUAUUGGGCAAUGGGCGCAAGCCUGAUCCAGCCAUACCGCGUGAGUGAAGAAGGCCUUCGGGUUGUAAAGCCCUUUUGUUGGGAAAGCGGUACCCAAAGAGUAAGCACCGGCUAACUUCGUGCCAGCAGCCGCGGUAAUAC